rnacentral:misc_RNA from 1 species
GAUAAGAACGCAGCGAAAUGCGAUAAGUAGUGUGAAUUGCAGAAUUCAGUGAAUCAUCGAAUCUUUGAACGCACAUUGCGCCCUUUGGUAUUCCAAAGGGCAUGCCUGUUCGAGCGUCAUUUGUACCCUCAAGCUUUGCUUGGUGUUGGGCGUCUUGUCUCUAGCUUUGCUGGAGACUCGCCUUAAAGUAAUUGGCAGCCGGCCUACUGGUUUCGGAGCGCAGCACAAGUCGCACUCUCUAUCAGCAAAGGUCUAGCAUCCAUUAAGCCUUUUUUUUCAACUUUUGACCUCGGAUCAGGUAGGGAUACCCGCUGAACUUAAGCAUAUCAAUAAGCGGAGGA